CACAUUGAUGAUGAUGAUCUGAUUAACUAUAUUGUCUCUGGUUUGAAUCCUUCUUUCCUUCCUUUUAUCACAUCUCUUUCUAUUGCUUCCCGAGAUAGAACUAUCUGUUUUGAAGAUUUUCAAGC